ACCUGGGUGGCUCAAUCAGUUGAGCGUCUGACUUCGGCUCAGGUCAUGAUCUCACAGUUUGUGGGUUCGAGCCCCAUGUUGGGCU
rnacentral:tRNA from 1 species